UAGGGAAUCUUCGGCAAUGGGGGCAACCCUGACCGAGCAACGCCGCGUGAGUGAAGAAGGUUUUCGGAUCGUAAAGCUCUGUUGUAAGUCAAGAACGGGUGUGAGAGUGGAAAGUUCACACUGUGACGGUAGCUUACCAGAAAGGGACGGCUAACUACGUGCCAGCAGCCGCGGUAAUACGUAGGUCCCGAGCGUUGUCCGGAUUUAUUGGGCGUAAAGCGAGCGCAGGCGGUUUGAUAAGUCUGAAGUUAAAGGCUGUGGCUCAACCAUAGUUCGCUUUGGAAACUGUCAAACUUGAGUGCAGAAGGGGAGAGUGGAAUUCCAUGUGUAGCGGUGAAAUGCGUAGAUAUAUGGAGGAACACCGGUGGUGAAAAGCGGCUCUCUGGUCUGUAACUGACGCUGAGGCUCGAAAGCGUGGGGAGCGAACAGGAUUAGAUACCCUGGUAGUCCACGCCGUAAACGAUGAGUGCUAGGUGUUGGAUCCUUUCCGGGAUUCAGUGCCGCAGCUAACGCAUUAAGCACUCCGCCUGGGGAGUACGACCGCAAGGUUGAAAC
rnacentral:rRNA from 1 species